UACGUAGGGUGCAAGCGUUGUCCGGAAUUAUUGGGCGUAAAGGGCUCGUAGGCGGUUUGUCGCGUCGGGAGUGAAAACUCAGGGCUUAACCCUGAGCCUGCUUCCGAUACGGGCAGACUAGAGGUAUGCAGGAGAGAAUGGAAUUCCUGGUGUAGCGGUGAAAUGCGCAGAUAUCAGGAGGAACACCGGUGGCGAAGGCGGGUCUCUGGGCCGAUACUGACGCUGAGGAGCGAAAGCGUGGGGAGCGAACAGG
rnacentral:rRNA from 1 species